ensembl:lncRNA
UGGUAUACAAAUUCCAACUCUACUUUUCAAAUGGAUGUUGGUUGGUAUUAAAUCACUAGGGUUUUAAUAGUUCAUCAGAUAUAUUAAAAAGAGUCAUGAAGUAGCUUAUUUUUAAAUGCCAGUACUUAGAGCAGCUAUUACAUCCUUUGCAACUAUUUAAACUUGUGAUAAAAAAAUUUUAGUUGUCAACUUUAUAAUGUGCAAUGUGGAUGCAUGGGUUAAAGAGAAUUUUAGGGAGCAUGUGAACAAAAAAACUGAAAGACCGGUGCUCUAAAAAAUGGUAGGCCUCAUCUUGAAGUGAGUAUCUGAAUAACUGGGGCUGGGGAUGAAGGGGGCACGAGUGGCCAGGGAGAGAAUUUGGACUCAGGAGAGUAUAAUGAGUAGAAAAGCUGAUCUGGAAGUAGAGGCUAGUUCCCCUGUGAUAUGGUUUGGCUGUGUCCCCACCCAAAUCUCAUCUUGAAUUGUAGCUUUCACAAUCCCAUGUCAUGGGAGGGACCUGGUGGGAGGUAACUGAAUCAUGGGGGCAGGUUUUUCCCAUGCUGUUCUUGUGAUAGUGAAUAAGUAUCACAAGAUCUGAUAAUUUUAUAAAGGGCAGUUCCCCUACACAUGCUCUCUCUUGCCUGCUGCCAUGUAAGAUGUGCCUUUACUCCUCCUUCACCUUCCACUAGGAUUGUGAGGCCUCCCCAGCCAUGUGGAACUGUAAGUCCAUCAAACCUCUUUUUCUUUAUACAUGACCUAGUCUCAGGUAUUUCUUCAUAGCAGCAUGAAAAUGGACUAAUACACCCUGAGAGCAACUGAACAAUUCUGGACAGUGUUCAAAUGCAGGAUAAAUGGAGGGAAGAAGUAGGCAGUGAUGUUCUGAAGGUCCAACCCAGCAGGCUUAGCCUAACCAGGGUGGGAGGUCUGUCCAGAAGGUGGAAAAACCUCAAAGUCAUGUAUGUGAGGGGUGAUGAGCCUAGGUUGCAGUUGGGAACCUGGCAAAGAUGUCAAGACCUCAAAUUAAGGACACUGGGCUUCAGAAGAAGGUUCUCAUAUUAGCGUUAGGCUAAACAGCAGUUAGGCCAUGCAACAAGCAACCCCAGUAUCUCAAUGGUUUAAUACAGAGAAGCUUUUUCCUCCCUUGUGUAACAGUUUGAUGACUCAGUGUCAUGCCAGACCCCUAUUAAUCUCAACAAGCAAGGUACCAUGUUUGAGAGGCAGAAGAAGAAACCCAGAGCUACCAAAUGAGACAUAAAUUAUUAUCAGAGGAAAUUUACACACAGGGAUGGUCCAGUGGCAGUGGGCCAGACAGGAGAACCACAACCACUUGCAAAUAGCAUGUAGUUUAUAAUAUAGCAUUUCCACUUCGCACCCUCCCCUUAACAAUCUCCACCUGACAACCUUCAUUUAACGCAAAACAAAGGGCUUUGAUCCCCUGUAUGGCUCGUGGUCCUUGGGACAGGCUGGGGGUUCAGAUGUUCAUCAUAGAUAAAAAAUGAACCUCCAGGCUGGCCACUCCCAGAUUCCUGAGCUUGGAACUCUGAGCACAUAUUCCGCUGUGUCUGCCCUACAGGGUCAUUCUCAGAGUAUGCUUAAGCUGUUGCUGUCAGGUGUGUUUGCCAUACACUCAGGAUCAGGGUCCUGUCCUUCUUAGUCUCCAUGUUCUCCAGGAGCCAGAAAAAAGGAGAGAGAGGGGAUCAGGUGGCACUGUUUAUGGGCCUUUCAUGGAAGUGACACCUGUGGUUACUUCUGCCUAUGUUCCUUUGGACAGAAUUCAGUUGAAUGGUCAUACUGGAGGCAAGGGAGCCUGGAAAAAGUGGUCUAGUUGAAUGUCCAGAAGGUGAAUAAAGAGGUUUGGUCAACUCCUGAUGUUUCCCACCCCUGUCAAACUCUGGAGUCAGGCUUUGGUCUGGGUUAAAAUGCUGAUCACUGGCCAGGCGCGGUGGCUCAUGCCUGUAAUCCAGCACUUUGGGAGGCCAAGACAGGCGGAUCACAAGGUCAGGAGAUCGAGACCAUCCUGGCUAACACGGUGAAACCCCAUCUCUACUAAAAAAUACAAAAAACUAGCUGGGUGAGGUGGCGGGCACCUGUAGUCCCAGCUACUUGGGAGGCUGAGGCAGGAGAAUGGCAUAAACCUCGGAGGCGGAGCUUGCAGUGAGCUGAGAUCCGGCCACUGCACUCCAGUCUGGGUGACAGAGCAAGACUCCGUCUCAAAAAAAAAAAAAAAAAAAAAAAAAA